CUCAAAGGUCCAAAGGAAGAGAACCAGUCAUACUCUAUUGAAUAUAGACCCAAAAAAAUAAAAAAUGAUUCUUUCCACAGAGUGAAAGAGACAGAGUUUAGUGCUCCCAAUUCCCAGAUAAAUUCUCUCCUUAGAUAAGCAUUGUAAACUGAAACUACAAUUAAUUUUUUGUACAAAGUCAGCUCUCAGCUAUGACAAUCAUCACCAACAGCAAUGAUAAUGAUUACACAAGGCACCGUUAGCUUGUCUAUGUGACAGUGCAACUGCAAUUGCUACUAGUACUACCCUAGGAAUGAUCUGUUACAAAACUAUCAAAUUUCACAGAUAAAAAAAAAGUUAAGUAUUACAUGUGUGGUCCCUGGAUCAUCUCCAAUUAGCUAGUGCAAGAAAAAAAUAUAAAAUAAAAUUGUCAUUGGCUCCCACCUCCACUGCACAAACUAACUAGAUCCAUCAGGGUUGAGUACAAGAUAUCAAGAGGUAAAUACCCCAAGAACUUCCUAUAUUCAGAUGCACCAUUUGUUGUGUCCAUAUGAAGUUUCUUUUCCUCUGCAAAACCAUCUUCCAUUACUAACCACCAGGAGAUGCAUCCUUCAGCAUCUUCAGGGUCCACAUGUGCCACCAGGCUCAGUACUUCACCCUGCUCCAACUCAAAUGACAAGCAUAAAAAGUCACGGUUUGCUUUUAUUCCCACCAUAAGAGCUUCCUCAUGAAGCCAGCGAAUAACCUGGCUAGCAACCUGCUGAAGAAUUAUCACAGGAAGAUCAGCCAAGUUGCAAUCAUAUUUGUUCAUAGAACAUAUGUCAUCAGAACUGCCUUUAAAUAGGCCGACAACAUUAGGAGCACCUUCUGCUUCAACAUUGAUGCGACCAUCAUUUACUACAAUCUUAGUCCGAAAUUCUGUCUUAAUAUCGCUCUUCAUGCUUUUGACAUCUGAUGUCCGUGAUUGAGAACUUGCAUGGAUAAUGGACUGAGGAACCUUCAUGAAUAUUGUCCAAGAAGAUGUCCGAGAAUGCCAGGUGGGAUGAGAUAUUAAAUGGAGAUAUGGGACCUUGCAAGCCACAUUUUCUAGCUCCAUAAGGACUCUGUUUGAAAAUAUUCGGUGAGCCACAGACAUGCAGAAAUGACCAAGAAGACCACACCCAUCCUUUGCUGGUUGAACAGAUACACGAAUGCCAUUGGAAAGGGGUCUAUCCUUUGCUCUUAAAAAUACAUGCUCGUGAAAAAUCUGUUGAAGAUAUAUUUCAAAACUGAUAUGGUUAGGAAUGCUCGACUUCUUAUUGAGAUAUUCAUGUUUUUCUUCUGGUAACUUCACUCCAUCAAGUGAAUCUAAGGGUAAAACAGAAGAUUCUGAGAUCCGGUAGUCUCCACCAUCAACCGUUUGAUCAUCCUCAUAAGUUGGCUCAAGGGAUAUGAACACAGAAGUUCCUGGACUUAUGCUUAGUUGUAGAUAAUUUUCUUGAAUUCCAGUCACAUUGACUCCUAAAGAUUGGUUGAAGGCUUCACGGUUCACCAUAUCAAAUACUUGCUCAUCGAAGAUUGCCCGAUGAACUUCACGAAGGAGCAUGUUUGUUUCUUUUACGCAUUCAUUAUCACUUCCAGAUUCUUUUUCAGUUCCUUUUGAUGGAUGCUUAACUGAGUACAAGCUUCCAAUUUUAGUAGUUUUCUUUACAUUUUCAUUGGAAUGUACACCAAGAAAACCAAAACGAAGAGAGCGACAAGAAUUAGGAGGUAAGUUUAUAGCGAGCAUGCCAGCUGAGUCAUGGUCAAUGCGAAUGUAAGAUAGAGAAGAGGGCCGAAAUACAGAGGCUGAAUCAUAUAAAGUAUUGUCAAAAAGAUCAAUGGUGAAGCCCUCAUUACUAGGACCAGUUGCUGCCAUGCGCUGCCGUUUAACUUUCCAGUUUUGCUGCAAUCUGAUUAGAGCACCAUAAAAUCUUGCUUCCCUUGCAACUUGCUGUUCCAAGGCUUUGGCAGACUGCUUAAAAUAUUUACCAAGAUGUCGGUAACAUUGUAGCUUUGUUGCUGUAGACACAGCAAGAUCAGCCAGAUGCUCGUCGGGCAACGGCUUUGGCCUGGUCAUGCUAGCCACUGUUACAGCAUCAUUAGCUUCCACAAAAUUGAUGAGAUCUAAAACGACAGAGAGCUCCUGGUGAGCUAACUGCAAGUUCUCCACCAUGCUCUGCCAUGGCCAUGGUGUAGAGGAGCUCUCCUUUGAGCUCUUCUUCUGCUUCUUCUUCUUUUCCUCGUCUUCUUUCUCCACUGCCCAUGCAAAAUCUAUUCGGCGAAUCAGUGAAACUCUCUUCUCAUCAUAUCCAAUAUCAGUAGGGAAGCGUUCGAAGCCGUUUUCUUCAAUGGCUUCCAAGCGCUUGACAGGGAGCUUGUCGAGGGAGAUUUCUACCUUGCCAUCCAUUACCUCUGUAGAUUUUCCAGGAAAAUUGAAAAAUUUUCGAAGCAAAAGAGACCUAGAUCAGUGGGGGAAGGCAAGUGUGUACCUGGCAAGCAUAUAAGGUUAAAUAUUCGAAUACCCAUUUUGUCCCCAAACACAAAAAUGUCGUGACGAGUCGAGGACUGUAGAAGGCACUCUGCCGAUUAUGGGCUUUUUUGGGCCUGAAUAAUUUGUGUACGGCUCAAUUCGCA
rnacentral:misc_RNA from 1 species